rnacentral:misc_RNA from 1 species
GCUUCGACGCGUAGGAGGGGGGAGAGGCCGAAUCAAGAAUAAAACCAAAAGAGCCCAAUUGAUUUUCUUGUUUGGGUUCUCAAAAUUCACAGACAAAAACACGAAAAGAUUGAAUUUUGAUCAAUCGAAAGCAAUCUUCAACAACGAUAGCAUUAUCCUCUGUUAUACCCAUAAGAAGCAAAGGAGAGAAAAAAAAGCCCAAAAAAAUUAUGGAGAAAAUGAUGAACAUGAUAAAGCCGAAACAGAACCCACAGCAGCAAUUGAGAGAUUGGCAGCGCAGACUCCGCCAAGAGUGUCGCAAUAUCGAACGCCAAAUCCGAGAUAUACAGAAAGAGGAGAAAAGUGUGCAGAAAGCAAUCAGAGAUGCUGCCAAGAGGAAUGACAUGGGUUCUGCCAAGUCACUUGCUAAGGAAAUUGUGAGAUCUAGAAGAACAGUGAACCGGCUUUAUGAAAAUAAGGCGCAAAUGAAUUCAAUAUCAAUGCACCUCGGUGAAAGUGUGGCAAUUGCCCGUACAGUGGGCCAUUUAUCCAAGAGUUCUGAGGUCAUGAAGCUUGUCAAUAAUCUCAUGAAGGCUCCAGAAGUGGCUGCUACAAUGCAAGAGUUUAGCAAAGAAAUGACCAAGGCAGGGGUUAUUGAGGAAUUUGUGAAUGAUGCUGUUGACAAUGCACUGGACUCGGAAGAUAUUGAAGAAGAAAUUGAGGAAGAAGUUGACAAGGUCUUGACUGCUAUAGCUGGUGAGACUGCUGCACAGCUACCAGAAGCAGUCAGGAAGGAGAGAGUGAAGCAAUCAGCUGAGACAGCAAGAACAACCGAGGAGGAAGAAGCCAUUGCUGAGGGCGUUGAUGAUGAGGAAGAACUAGAAGAAAUAAGGGCCCGACUUGCUAAAGUUAGGUCUUAAUUUGAGCCUUAAGUCCCUUCCUCUUCUGCUGGUGAAUUAGAGAAGGGCUUUGAGCACAUUUAACUUGCAUCUAGGCAUUAAUAACAAUGAAAUUGUUGAAUUCACCAUUGACAGUGAGUACAUGAGACGAAAAGAUAUGUUUGUAUUAUAUAUUGAAAGUGGCUUUUUCCUAUAUACUUAAAAAAGUUACUAGCCGCUAUGUGUAUCAUACCUAACUUGAGGCAUUGUUGUU